UAGGGAAUCUUCCACAAUGGACGCAAGUCUGAUGGAGCAACGCCGCGUGAGUGAAGAAGAUCUUCGGAUCGUAAAACUCUGUUGUUAGAGAAGAACACGAGUGAGAGUAACUGUUCUUGUAUUGACGGUAUCUAACCAGAAAGCCACGGCUAACUACGUGCCAG
rnacentral:rRNA from 1 species